UAAUGAGUCAUAUAGUAGCUUGUUAAAGUGC
rnacentral:piRNA from 1 species